AGUUACUCAAAGUAAAAUCCUACUUCAGCUAAUACCUUUUUCCCCCCUAGAAAAAGCUUGUUUCGAAGAAAGACCGCAGAAAAUGCAGCUGGCGAUUCAUUCUUGACCUCACUCAUCCAGUGGAAGAUGGAAUCCUUAGUUCUGAGAAUUUUGGCCAGUUUCUGAAGGAGAGGAUGAAAGUUAAUGGCAAAACUGGAAACUUUGGGAGUAUAGUUCAGAUUGAACAGUUGAAGAACAAGAUCAUGGUAACAUCAGAGAAGCAGUUCU